rnacentral:rRNA from 1 species
GAUGAACGCUGGCGGCGUGCCUAAUACAUGCAAGUCGAGCGAACGGACGAGAAGCUUGCUUUUCUGAUGUUAGCGGCGGACGGGUGAGUAACACGUGGAUAACCUACCUAUAAGACUGGGAUAACUUCGGGAAACCGGAGCUAAUACCGGAUAAUAUUUUGAACCGCAUGGUUCAAAAGUGAAAGACGGUCUUGCUGUCACUUAUAGAUGGAUCCGCGCUGCAUUAGCUAGUUGGUAAGGUAACGGCUUACCAAGGCAACGAUGCAUAGCCGACCUGAGAGGGUGAUCGGCCACACUGGAACUGAGACACGGUCCAGACUCCUACGGGAGGCAGCAGUAGGGAAUCUUCCGCAAUGGGCGAAAGCCUGACGGAGCAACGCCGCGUGAGUGAUGAAGGUCUUCGGAUCGUAAAACUCUGUUAUUAGGGAAGAACAUAUGUGUAAGUAACUGUGCACAUCUUGACGGUACCUAAUCAGAAAGCCACGGCUAACUACGUGCCAGCAGCCGCGGUAAUACGUAGGUGGCAAGCGUUAUCCGGAAUUAUUGGGCGUAAAGCGCGCGUAGGCGGUUUUUUAAGUCUGAUGUGAAAGCCCACGGCUCAACCGUGGAGGGUCAUUGGAAACUGGAAAACUUGAGUGCAGAAGAGGAAAGUGGAAUUCCAUGUGUAGCGGUGAAAUGCGCAGAGAUGUGGAGGAACACCAGUGGCGAAGGCGACUUUCUGGUCUGUAACUGACGCUGAUGUGCGAAAGCGUGGGGAUCAAACAGGAUUAGAUACCCUGGUAGUCCACGUCGUAAACGAUGAGUGCUAAGUGUUAGGGGGUUUCCGCCCCUUAGUGCUGCAGCUAACGCAUUAAGCACUCCGCCUGGGGAGUACGACCGCAAGGUUGAAACUCAAAGGAAUUGACGGGGGCCCGCACAAGCGGUGGAGCAUGUGGUUUAAUUCGAAGCAACGCGAAGAACCUUACCAAAUCUUGACAUCCUUUGACAACUCUAGAGAUAGAGCCUUCCCCUUCGGGGGACAAAGUGACAGGUGGUGCAUGGUUGUCGUCAGCUCGUGUCGUGAGAUGUUGGGUUAAGUCCCGCAACGAGCGCAACCCUUAAGCUUAGUUGCCAUCAUUAAGUUGGGCACUCUAAGUUGACUGCCGGUGACAAACCGGAGGAAGGUGGGGAUGACGUCAAAUCAUCAUGCCCCUUAUGAUUUGGGCUACACACGUGCUACAAUGGACAAUACAAAGGGCAGCGAAACCGCGAGGUCAAGCAAAUCCCAUAAAGUUGUUCUCAGUUCGGAUUGUAGUCUGCAACUCGACUACAUGAAGCUGGAAUCGCUAGUAAUCGUAGAUCAGCAUGCUACGGUGAAUACGUUCCCGGGUCU